UUAUUGGUAUUAGGCGAUACUAGACUGUUUUUAUAUAAAUUCAGCUUGGCUUGCAAAUUGCCAUACUAGAUGAGACUUGUUCCACGCUUAGGCCACAAUAAAAGAAGUGUCUACAAUUAUAGUCUCUACCCGAAUAACUGCAAAAUGCCAACAGGAUCCCAUUCCAGCUUUGAUGAUAAAUAACGCAUUGACAGGAGGCGCUGAUUGGAUGUGGGCAUUAUGAUUCCUGCCUUGAUUGGUCUGAUAAACGGACACGGAACGAGUUCGCUUUUGCCAUUUGACGAAUUUUCUGAAAAAACUAGGAUUGGAUUUGAACCUAACAUACGCACAAGAUGUCAUCAUAGUAGUCAUUGUCAUCCAGACGACAGUCACAGUCAUCAUCCCAUUCGAUGGGUCCUUGGUAAACUGAAGAGUCGUCACUUCCGCUGAUCUGAAAAACAAUAC